CCCAUCUCAGAGUCACACCUGGAGAGUUUCCAGUACUUUAUCAGUCUUGACUACAGGAAGGAGAGUCAAGCAGAGGCUUAUCCAUUCCAUUCUUAGCUUGGGCAGUGGCUAGCGAGUGGAAGACCAUCUGCUAAAAGU